UGCAGUCGAGGGGUANAUGUCUUCGGAUAUAGAGACCGGCGCACGGGUGCGUAACGCGUAUGCAAUCUGCCUUUCACAGAGGGAUAGCCCAGAGAAAUUUGGAUUAAUACCUCAUAGUAUAAUCAAGCCGCAUGGUUUAAUUAUUAAAGUCACAACGGUGAAAGAUGAGCAUGCGUCCCAUUAGCUAGUUGGUAAGGUAACGGCUUACCAAGGCAACGAUGGGUAGGGGUCCUGAGAGGGAGAUCCCCCACACUGGUACUGAGACACGGACCAGACUCCUACGGGAGGCAGCAGUGAGGAAUAUUGGACAAUGGGCGCAAGCCUGAUCCAGCCAUGCCGCGUGCAGGAUGACGGUCCUAUGGAUUGUAAACUGCUUUUGUACGAGAAGAAACAUCCCGACGUGUCGGGACUUGACGGUAUCGUAAGAAUAAGGAUCGGCUAACUCCGUGCCAGCAGCCGCGGUAAUACGGAGGAUCCAAGCGUUAUCCGGAAUCAUUGGGUUUAAAGGGUCCGUAGGCGGUUUAGUAAGUCAGUGGUGAAAGCCCAUCGCUCAACGGUGGAACGGCCAUUGAUACUGCUGAACUUGAAUUAUUAGGAAGUAACUAGAAUAUGUAGUGUAGCGGUGAAAUGCUUAGAUAUUACAUGGAAUACCAAUUGCGAAGGCAGGUUACUACUAAUGGAUUGACGCUGAUGGACGAAAGCGUGGGGAGCGAACAGGAUUAGAUACCCUGGUAGUCCACGCCGUAAACGAUGGAUACUAGCUGUUGGGGGCAACUUCAGUGGCUAAGCGAAAGUGAUAAGUAUCCCACCUGGGGAGUACGUUCGCAAGAAUGAAACUCAAAGGAAUUGACGGGGGCCC
rnacentral:rRNA from 1 species